UACGUAGGGGGCAAGCGUUGUCCGGAAUCAUUGGGCGUAAAGGGCGUGUAGGCGGUCCGCUAAGUCUGAUGUGAAAGCCCGGGGCUCACCCCCGGAAGUGCAUUGGAAACUGACGGACUCGAGUCCCGGAGAGGAGAGUGGAAUUCCUGGUGUAGCGGUGAAAUGCGUAGAUAUCAGGAGGAACACCGGUGGCGAAGGCGGCUCUCUGGACGGUGACUGACGCUGAGACGCGAAAGCGUGGGGAGCAAACAGG
rnacentral:rRNA from 1 species